AGCGAACGCUGGCGGCAGGCCUAACACAUGCAAGUCGAGCGGGCACCCAUGAGGUGUCUGCGGCUGACGGGUGCGUAACGCGUGGGGGCGUGCCCUACGGUUCGGUCUAAUUCAGGGUAACUUGAGCUAAUACCGGAUACGCGCGAGAGCCGCAAGGGUUGUCUGCCGAAGAAUGGGCCAGCGUCUGAUUUGCAAGUUGGUGAGGGUAUGACGCACCAAGGCGACGUUCAGUAGAUUGGCAGAGAGGAAGAGCAGCGACACUGGCAGUGAGACACGGCCCAGAAUCCUACGGGAGGCGGCAGUGGGGGAUAUUGCACUACGGGGGCAACCCUGAUCGAGCCAGGCCGCGUGAGUGAUGUCGGCCUUAGGGUAGUAAAGCUCGUUUCUCCGGGACGAUAAUGACGGUACCGGAAGAAUAAGCCCCGGCUAACUUCGUG
rnacentral:rRNA from 1 species